AUGAUAUCUCCAUCCAUCCCAAAAUUCUUGUCUUAAAUUUGUCUAGAUACGGAUGUAUCUAAUACUGAAAUGUGACUUGAUACAUCAGUAUUUAGAAAAAUCUAAGACAAGAAUUUUGGGACGGAGGGUGUAUUUU
rfam:Triticum aestivum genome assembly, contig: Triticum_aestivum_CS42_TGACv1_scaffold_220750_3B